UGCCCUGUGGGGCUGCAGCAGUGGACACCGUGGAGCUCGGGGUAGGACGUAGUUUGUGUCUGCAAGGCUGUAUGGGGGCUGUGGGAUCCAUCCCAUGGGGCUGUAGGGGGAUGCCCUGAGGGGCUGCAGUGGGUUGUAGGGUCAAGGGGAUGCUCCAUGAGCUGCGUGGGGGAGGGGCUGUAGCAAAACCCCAGCAUGAUGUGACCUCGUCCAGCUCCUGCGCUGAUCCCUGUUGAAAGCAAGUGAGAAUGCUGCAACAAAAUCUGGCUGCGGAUGAAACAUUCUUGCAGCAGCCUUGGAGGCUGAAUGUCAGCUGAGGAUCUCAAAAGUGAGGGGGAGCAGCAAACGCCUUGUCUCAAGACCCUUUUUCAGGACCUGAGGGAAUGGUGCUUCUACUGCAGCAGUGCAGCAAAAACUUGCAUGCAAGGAGAAAAUAUUCUACCUUGGCAUUUGGAGCCUCACUAACAAGCAGCCAGAGAGGAGCGAUGCCAUAUAAAACUUUAACUUCUAAAUAUGAAAUUUUGGAGAUUGCAAUGAGCAGAGAGUGCCAGCUCCAUGCCAGCAGUAGGGAGGAGGCAGAGGGAACGCCAUCAGCUCGCUACUUGCUGCUGCACAGAGCACAUAGCCCCAGGAGUUUCUCUGCCCGGUGUCCUGUUACCACUUGAAUCAAGAUGUGAAAGCCAAGCCAGCUUAUUUUUAGCACAAUUUGGACCUAAAGAAGCAAACGCUGGUGAAAUAUGCAGUACUGACAGCCCUGGAAAAUCUUUAUUCAUCUGCAGCACAGGAAGCAGGGAAGGAUGCGAGAAAGCAGAGCAAUCCCAAGCUACAAACCAAGUCUCUCAGCUUCUUGGACUCAGCCUCUCUAGCACUGCACAGAUCCUGGCGGUAGCUGGGAGAGGGUUUUUCCACGCUCAGAGCGGGCCUGGCACAGCAGGGAGGAGUGCGGCGUGCCGCAGAUUAGGACAGCCUGCAAGCCUCCAGCUGAGCUCACUACGUCUGUUGGAGCUCAACUGCAGCAACGGUGGGACUGUAAAAAUGGGAGAGACUCGGAAAACUUGAGUAUCAGAGCCCUGCUCUGCUAAGCUCUGAGAGUUUACUGUGUUAAUACAACAUUGGAUCUGUGCAACUGGGCGAUCCAGUGGCACUGAUGCUGCCCUGUACCACCUCUAGCAGUCACUCAGACCCUCUGCUCUGUGGAGGAACCCAAAAAGAGGACACUUAUGACACAACCAUCAUGCCAAGCAGGCAUGUUUCUAUCCCCAUCUCUUAGGACCCUGCUGAAAUCCUGCAGUGCAUUUAGGUAUCUUCAGGACCUGAGCUGGCUGGGGGCUGGUAAAUCACUGCAGGCAGCAGUUGGCUGGAGUGGAGAUGGGGCCAUGAAGGGGAGCAGAGCAGCAAAAAUGGGUCCCUUCAACUUUUGGGGCACAGACGUGCAUCUGGAUGGUGAAUGCAGAAACACUGAAGCAAGGUAUGUUGUAAAAACAAAAACAACACAGGAACACCUGACCCACAGCCAGGAGCCUCCCCGUUACAUUGGGAACAGCCCUCAUCAGCAUCUCACACUGAGGCAGCUUGAGCUGACGAAGCCUUUGGAAAGCACUGAUUCCUAUGUGUCCUGGAGCACAGCAAGCACAGAUGAUGAUGAAGCCAUCACAGCUGGUUACAGCUGUAUUGCAUGAGCUUGAGCUGCCCAUUCUUUGGUGCCAGUGGAUGGCAUGAUGCUUUGAAAAGGAGCCCAUCAUUGGACAUCAUGGAACCUAAUUGGCACGGUUUGUCACAGCAUCAACACUGGGUAGCUUAGCCUGUAGAGCUGAGGGACCACCCCAGCCUCUCAAAAACUACUGGCACAUGCUGUCUUGCUCUUUCAACACUGCACUGAGAUUUUCAUAUUUCUCCAGCCAAUCUUCCAUUCCCUCUCUUGCAAGGAACAGCAAGAAGGGCAUGUAAAAGGCAAUAGCGAGGCUGGAAAAUCCCAAGUAAGGCUCUACCCCUGGCUGAAGGUCAGGAGAGUGGCCAUAAAUGCUGGCCAAGGCUGGAUCAUGAGAGGCUCCUCAGGGAUGGGGAGCCGUGGACAGAUGUGCGCUCCUGGAUCCAGCUGUGCCACUGGACGUGCUCCCCCCUCCAGACAUUUCUCCCCACCCUCCAGAUGCUCCAGCCCCUGCAGCACAAAGCAGCGUCGCUCACUGGGGUGAACUCUCCAUUGACAGAAUGUUGCAGAGCAUCAUUUCCAGCUAAGAUAAAGCCCAAUGUGUGAGGAAAUCAGGCUGGUGAUUGGAUCAGCUUUACCUUACGCGGAGGGAGCAGCCACGAUGGGAAAGGGAGGACUUCAUCUGUUAAUUAUUUCAGCAUCUGCUGCGGAUGAAGGUUCUCUCUCCCGUCCCACUGGGGAGCAAUGAACGGCUGCGUGGUGCUGAGCUGCCUGCCGGGUUAAACCACAACAGCAGAAAAAUGAUGUUGACAACUUACACAAAAUACCUUGAGCACCUGCAAGCCCAUCAAGGACAUCACUCUACGGCACAUCCAGCAAACACCUGCCUGGAGAUCUCUGCUCUGAGCUGAGAUAAAUACAUUCUUCAGCUCCCUCAACAGAGCAGCUAUUCACUUGGACGAUCUGCAUGAUUUGUCCAGCUGCCAGAUUUUGAGCCUUGGUCUUCAUCCAGGAGAAACAGAUACCAAGUUGGGCGGCUUUUGCCUCCAGGCAUCCAAGCGUGUGUUCCAGGUGUAGUGCUGACUAACCGUCAGGAGCCACAGCGUCCGCAGAGCAGAGGUCAGUGAAGGUCACUCAGAGAUCCUGAGCAAUGCAUCAGAGUUCUUGAGCCCCGGCACUGAAGGCCCAGCACCACGGCGUGGGGAUGCCAGCUUUCCAAGCAGAUCCAUUGCUCCGUUACCCCUGGUAGCCCUGUGAUCAUGUGAAGGUCAACUCUUGGUGAGAUCCCCAGGCAAUGGAAUCACGCUGGGGGAAGGACUUUACUCCUGUUCUGUCUUUGCAGCUAUAGCGGGACAAGGUUCAGCGUCCAGACUGCUAACAAAACAAAAUCGUUCUGGGCAGUCUUUGCAAGUCAGCGGCGGCUGAGUUUUGGCAAAGAGUGCAGGGGCAAAGCCUGGCACAGCACCAGGCGGUGACGCAGUUGGUCAGCAUCCUCUGCAGCCUGAUGGUUGACCUUUUCUUUUGCGCAAUAAGAAAGCAAUGUCCUUCCUCCAUCCCAGAGGGACUUGGCCAGACCCUCGGCACAGGAGCAACAUUCAUCUGCCCCAGCUUUAGGUGUCAACAGCAAACAUCUACAGUCCUCCUCAUCAACAUCAGCUUUCUUUAGUGACCCUCUUGUGGAGAAAUGCAGUUGCAUCUAAAGAUUGGUCUGUUGCUUUUGAUACCAACUUUAGUGUGAAGGCAAGCUCAUCCCUGGAGGUGUUUUAGGCCAAGUUGGAUCAGGCCCUGGACAAUUUCAUCUAGUGCCUGACUGAGUGGUUGGCAAUCCUGUCCCCAGCAAGGGGGUUGGAGCUCGAUGGUCUUUGAGGUCCCUUCCAACCUAAGCCAUUCUAUGAUUCUGUGAUUCAAAUCAAGCUCCAAUAUUGUGUCUGACAUUUAUAAUGCUAUGAUCUAUGUUUCUUGUGAAUUAUAAAGGUACUUCCUUGAGACACUCCACAGCCCACUCUAUGAGACCUUUUGCACAAAUGACCCUAAUCAUGCUAGAAAACAUAUGCCGGUCCCUUAAAGGCCCAUAAGCUUGGCAGCCGUUGGAGGGAUAUAACAUGCCUGUUGAGUUUGGGAGAUAGCACCAAGUUAAUCUCUACAGCAGCUUUUCAUUGCUGAAAUUGGAAGUAUCUCCACUUAGACAUUAUUAUGAGGGAUGCUCUGAAAGUAAUGCCUCCUAUUUUAUGAUGUUGGCCCACAGCAGAGGUGGAUGUUGGUGGUACGGCUGUAGAGUUUGAACCUUUCUACCAAUAUUCCAUUACAUUUUGUUGCCACAUGACAGAUGGCAGCAGAGGGAUGGUCUGACAGAACAGCAUCUAACAUGGAAGUGAUUUUGAAGCAAAGGUGUGGAAUUUAAUUCCUCCAUGUGGAAAAAAAUGGCGCUCAUUUACCUUCGUUGAUGCCUGAUGAACUUUUAUGGAGACCAAACAGAGGAUGUCAGCACAGUGAGGUGGUGGGUGGUGCAGGCGUGUGGGUUCUUGUUAAUCAAUGAUGAAAAUGCAUGGAUAAUGGUGGUGACUGUGUUGAAAAACAGUGUUUUAUAGCUGAGAAUUUUCUGUAUCAUAGAGUCAUAGAAUGGUUUGGGUUGGAAGGGACCUUUAAGACCAUCUAAUUCCAACCCCUCUGCUAUAGGCAGGGACAAAUAGUGUUUUCUGCUCUUUGUAUCUAUUACAGUUUCCACAGAAAUAAAUAAGAGGCAUUACUUUUGGAGCAACCUAUGUACAAGUAAUAAUGUUCAAAAAUCUGCUGAGGUGGUACCAUAAAUUAGAAAGAGAUUCUCAUGAACCAUUUCCACCCUGGCUCACCAGAGAGAAAGGCUCAUGGCUUCAGUUGUGUUUUGCCCCAAAUACAUCUUAUGCAUCCUUCAGGACUUUGUUUUCUGCAUGGUGCAGAUGACAUUGGUCAACCUCCACUGAUCAGUGGAGCAUCACAAAAGGGAUGGGGUUCUUGGCAGAUGUUCUAUUGGCAUCUUUCAGUUUGGUUCAGAUGUCUUCUGUGUCACAGCAAUGUCUGUUCUGCAUUUGCACACCACAGAGGAAGAGUUGAACAAGGGAGCCCAGCAGGACUCUCAUGGACCACAUCUGAUGUGCUGGGAAGUGAGCCCACAUGAUGAUAGUUUGUAUUACAAAGCUCUGGAGUCACUGAUGACAUGGCAGGAUCCAGUGACUUCAUUCAGGCAAGCUGUAAUACAUCUUUUUAUGUAAUACAUACAAUUUUUGUUCAGAUUUUAUUUUCUUAGCUAAUGUAUCGAUGAAAGCCUCAUGCUCUGAACUGAGACCUUGCAAUGGCAGGAUCGUAAGGAGCACAGAAAGAUACAAAAUGUUUUGGUGUUUGUAGGAGGUAUUUCUAAUUUAACUUUUUCCUCAUUGUCUUUCAUCUCAUGGAAUCAUAGAAUCAUUAGAGCUGGAAGGGACCCUUACAGGUUAUCUAGUUCAUUUCCCCUGCAAUGGACAGGGACACCUACAGCUAGAUCAGGUUGCUCAGAGCCCUGUCCAUCCUGACCUUGAGUGUCUACAGGGAUGGGACAUCAGACUUUGGUCAUGACUUAUUGAUAUUUCUCUAGUUAUUUUCAUCUCUUGAACUCUUCAGAGACCUUAAAGAAGCUGAAUGUUGGUUUUCUGAUAUCUUUGAUGGUUUUUUUUUUGUUUGCUUGUUUUGUUUGUUUUUUUGUUUUGUUUUGUUUUGUUUUGUUUAAAGGAGCUUUUGGGGAAGAAAAAGGGAACAUCCCUGAGUCCAAUCUGGAAAUCAGAUCCUUUGAAGCGUUCCCUCUUCUAUUUGCCAGUAAGCUGAGGUAAGCUGCUCUCUCCUUUGGAGCAGUUGGAGCAGUUCAUGUUAUUGAGGGAUGGAGAUGUAUGGUUUUUAACUUCUAGAUAGCCCAUCAGGAUGGGUCAGUAAAUCACCUAAGACUUCCCACUGGAUGAUGCAUUACCUUCUUUUAAUGUUGCAAACUGAAUAAAUCAGGCAAACAUUCUACAAGGAGCGUUUUGUACUACUUCUUCUUAACUUUCAGCCAAAAUCAUUCAGCCAUUUCUAAGAACAAAAGUGGGGAAAUAUAAGGGUUUUUUUCUCCCUUUUCAGAAAAUAUCUAUGGAUUUGAGCUUUGGAGUAGGACUGUAAUAGAAUCAUUAAAAUCAGAAAAAAAAAAAACCCUAAGAUCAUCUAGUCCAACCAUCGUUAUCCUUUGGGUUCCAGUGAAUAUGUACCCAUCUGAAACCAUUUUCCAAACUCCCAUUGGCCUGUGCUCAGGUGUGAUUUCUCAAAUGACAGCAAAAGACUAAACCCCAAAAAGAUGGGAGUGAAACCCCCAAAGGACUCAAAGUGCACCGAAUGUCUUCCUCUUGGAGGCAGAGCAGGACUCCCUCUGUACUCCCUGGGCUGCUGUGGGAUGUCGGGUCCAUCAUCCAGUUCUGUAGGGUUAGGCAGAGAGCAGCAACAGAUAAAUGCUGAUUAGCUGCUCGUUAACAGGGCACAGCACAUCCUGAGCACUGAACGAGGCAGCCGCUCUCUGCAGAUAGCAGCAUGUGAGGGUGUCAAUAAAGGCUAUCUGGGUGCACCCACACGAGCUGCGUCACUGCAAGUUGCAUGGAUAUUUUUAAGCCAGGGUUUUUUCCCACCUUGUGCUUGCUCAUCUUUGGCCAGUGAGGGUGUCCUAUCUCAAAUGUACCUGGAUGCGAGCUCCUCUGUUAUUCACACAAUUUCUGCAAAAUUAAAACUUAAGGAUAAAGGGAGGUAAACAUAGUCUGUCAUUACUGAGUAUCAACAGCAGUACACCCAGAUACACCCAGAAGAGUGUUGGGGCCCCCCAGACAUGCCAUACAGCCCAGGGUAGGGCAGAAGUUUCAUGCUGCCAAUCUCAAACUAACCACACUCAUUACUUCCAGCCUGCAGUGAGGUCCCAAGCACCUAUCCUAUCACAUACAAAUAUUUGUCACAGCAACAGGAAUAGCGUGAUCUUAUCUUCGCUCACCAUGCCAAGAACCCACUCUGAUGUCAAGGUGACCAUGCAGUGCUUGCUCA
ensembl:lncRNA